rnacentral:tRNA from 1 species
UUUAUCUUUCGAUUAAAAUGUAUUGGGGCGUAAAUAAUUUU